GUGAGUCACUUAGAAACAAAUAAUGUUAUGUACUUUGCUGCCGAUGAAUGCCAGAGACAACACUGUGGAUAAGCUGUCUAUAUUAAAUUUAUAAAGUCUUUUAAUACAAAUUCUCUGAUUUACUGCAGCGAUCACAAACUUUUUAGAUAUCUUUCUUUUCCAUUGCAAAAAAACUUGUGAAAUAUAUGUAUAUUACUCUAUUCUCAUUGCAACAAAUUCCAUAUGACUAUCGGUAAGACACCAGAUUGUAACAUAAUGACUAGAACUUUUUGUCAGAGGCAACACCCCCUCCAGGAUCCUAGGAUCAGAGCAGCAGUCUCGUCAAAGAAGUACUUAAAUUGUGAUUUAGGUACAUUCUCACUCACUCAUCAUCUCUUACUCUCACACACACAUGUGAUUAUGUCAUAGAGAAUGUCAUUAUGCCACAAGUUGUGUUCUCACCCUCCCUCUCACUCAGCGUGGUUACAUGGAUUCGAAUAACUGGCUUAAUCGGACUGAAAUCGAAUUAUCCGUUUCAUGUGAACACCUUUGUCCGACUGUGUGCGGUCCGACUACGAUCCGACUAACACCCCCCGAUAACUCGAUCCGAUCCAGUGGAUAGUUUGACUAUUGCGGCAUGUAACGGUGAAUCGGAUGAGGAACUGGACGUUGCGUCUUUGCGCAUGCUUGAGAUCCCGACGACGUCUUCUCUCCGUUAUCAAAUCAGCCAAUAGCGCCAUUUGCAUUCGCUGUGCUCCUAUUAACAUCAUGCAAAAACAGUAGAGGGAUGUAGCUUCACCUUGCUCUCCAAAUCGCCAUCUUUCUCGUAACGUUGAUGUUGUUGUUGUUGGUUGUUGUUGGUAGUGGUGAAGAGGUCAAGCGGAAAUGGCUGUAUCACAACUAGUUGUAAUGAAAACAGCGGCACCUAUCGUAUCGGAUAUGACAUGCUUUCGGCCAAUGAUUCGAUUUAUUCACUGCCAUGUAUAUUGGGAUAAUAGCACUUUCCCUGAAAGAGAGCAUAGUCCGACUAAGCAAAGAUUCGAAUUAUACCAUCAUGUAAACACACUGAGUCUCUCAUUGUAUAUUCCUGAAGAACUGAAGUAUGCGGAAGAAGGACCAAGUCUCCUCCUACAAGUCAACUCCUACAGAAUUACACAAACAAAACUGGGACUCACAAAUAAAAAGCAGGGCUGAAUAACACUACUAGCGAUGAAAAACGCCAUAGGUACCUGCCUCCAUCUUUAGGGACAGAAAACUCUUGCUCUGCUUUCUAUCGCCUAAAACAUCUAGCCAGUGAUGUUAGAACAGGUAUCAGUAGAAUCCAUCAAAAUCCGACACGCUUCUUAACUUGGAUGUAGACUAAAGUUUUAAAUUACCACACCGGUGAUUUGAUGUUGUAAUGUCACACAACUCACAAGUGACGGCUUUAAACAAAAAUGUUACAGGGCUACGGAACUAGAGAACACAGAUGGAUGCAAAGACCAGAGUGAGACACGCACUAAAGGUCUUUGUUGUUUAUGAAAUACUGGCUGGGGGAGUUAUGGACCUUCUAGCAGGAUGCUAUCAUGACUCUUCACCACCUUCUACAGCUGCAUGUAGAAUAUGGGAGGGUCCAAGGUGACUCCGCUGUUGGGAUCGUUGGCGUACUGCUGAAACGACAGUGGCAGCGCCGCUGCAGUUUGCUCAUCCGGUGCCUGCCGGGCUUUAGCGGCCCACUCAUCCUCCUCCUCCUUCAGUCCCACGGGUAGCGGGUUGCUGUAGAUGUAAUAGAUCCUGGAGUUGUCCCUGGCCGCCUCUGGUUUCCUGAAGAAGGCGAGAGGGUUGAUGAAGCUGGUGGACCUCUUCACUGCUUUGACGGCCACGGGGUCCGCCGGCUCGCCCCGGGUCACUGCACUCUCAUACACAUGGGCUCUCUUUGACUGCCUGGUGGAGAAGACGACUGCACUAGUGACUCUUAAUGUAACUUAAUGCCUCGGGCUCUAUAAUGCACGGUAUUCUUUGAAGUACCAACACUCAGUGCAAGUGCACUUAAUAUUAAGACAUCAACGAGGAAUCUCUCCUCCUGCGUGGGAA
ensembl:lncRNA